AGCAGGAGAGAGGCGCCUGCAAAACGAGGGCUCUGAUGAAAAUGUUAGUGAGAGGUGCCCAGGUCUGCAGGAGGGGAUACUCGGCACAGACAGAUGGACUGGCUACAACACUGCCCUCCGCCUCCCACCAGCAUGGAGGCAUGUGGGAUCUAGUUCUCUGAUCAGGGAUUGAAUCUGGGCCC